rnacentral:lncRNA from 1 species
CUUUCUCUCUCAUUCCUGUGGUUCCAGGAUAGAGAAUAACAAGUCAGUAAAAUGUGGACUGGGAAACACUGGCUGGAACUAACAAGACUAUGUAACUGUUUUCUUUAUAAUGUUUUAUCUACACUAAAUACAAAAUACAUUUUCCCUUCCAUUUAACUGAUUGUUAUUUUGGAUAACCCCCCCUUUGUUUGGGCAAGAAAGGAAUACUGUCUCUCUCUGAGUGGAAUCCAAAAUAUAUUAAGAAAAAUCAACCUUUUCUACACAGUUUUAUUUUAAUGGAAGGAAAACCUACCACAUACAUUUCAGAUGGAAAGAGAAGCAAAACAAAACAAAACACUGCAAGUAAUUGACCUUGGUUCCAAAGACAAAGAUUUUUAAAAGUUGGGACUUUUCUUUGCAAGGGCAGCAACAAUGUGCCUUAUAGACUGGCAAAGCUUAUCCAAUAAGGAACUGUCCUGGUUCUACCUUAUUUUAAAACAAAGUGAAAGGACAGCAACUCUGAGUAUAAAAUAGUUAAAAAUAAUUCUUUAAAAAAGACAUGGAGACAUAUGUGUUUCCUAACUGGUUUUAGAAAUUGCCAGGUUAUGAUAUAAAAAGUAGCUGAUGAAAUAAUAUCAAAAUCUCAUCUAGAAAACUACAUCAUCAGGGGAGGAAAAAAGGGACUUGAAAAAAAUGCUUAUUGCCAAAGUUGACUUUCUGUAAGUUGAAAGAUCACUUAGAUUGAACAAACCACAGAGCAACAUAAAAUGGGCACUUUUGAAGAUUUUGAAAAAUUAUAAAAGCUGUUUUUUUUUUAAUAGGGACAAACUUGAAUACUAUGACACUAUUAUCUUUCAUCGUAACAUGGAUUACAUGUGUUUAUGUGACACAUUUACAAAAGUCAACCAAAUAAGGGAACUGCCUGUUUGAAUCUGCCACUGAACCCAGUGCAAUUGCUUGGCAGCCUGUACUUUCACCAGUGCUGCAGUCUGGCUGGGCACAAUUCACGAGCCACUUGUCAAGCAGGAACGAACUUUAUUUUUUGAACGCACGCUGCACCACGCGAGCUCUCCAGGAAUUCCCCGAGAGCCCAACUGCCACCACCAGCUCUUCCGGGGAGCACCUCAACCAGAACCCUUAGGUACCCCCUCUUGAGGCAGAUUGGCUGGGUUGCGUGGGCGGAGCCAAAAGAGUCCCCCCAAUGAGCAGCUCCGUGGUCUGAAAGGGCAGGGAAACAGCCCAAUGAGCAUCACCGCAGAGGAGCCAAUCAGCUGGAAGUUUGCUUGGGCUGUGGUGAGCCAAUCAGCUGGAACUUUGCUGGGGCCGUGGUGAGCCAAUCAGCUGGAAGUUUGCUGGGGCUGCUUUAGCUGCGGCUCUCAACAUCUCCCCCUCUCUGUUUAAUUAAACAACAAGCAUGUGGCUUAGGGACUGUGCCUGUCUUAGGUUGUCCAAUAGUACAUAUGGUCCUUACCUGUCAUCAGAUGAGCUGACCUCAAGGCGUCAGCCUCCUGUCUUAGGUUGGUACCAUUGCAAUUGGAUCUUACCCGUCAUUGACUACGGGUCCAGCAUACAGCCACACCUGUGGAUAGGCCUUUGUACCAGUGUGGGGGGGUGAGGUUCUUUGCCUCACCUCUGUUGGCCCCCAAAUUUUAGCUGAACGACCAUCACAAGCAGAAGGGAGGAGGAUACAAAAUGCCACGACACCAAGCCAAUUGACGGCUCCUUUUGGAAUAA